rnacentral:rRNA from 1 species
AGGGUUUGAUUAUGGCUCAGGACGAACGCUGGCGGCGCGCCUAACACAUGCAAGUCGAGCGGAGUUUGCUGACGGAAGCUUUCGGGUGGAAGAUAGUAAACUUAGCGGCGGACGGGUGAGUAACACGUGAGCAACCUGCCUCUCAGAGGGGGAUAACGUUUGGAAACGAACGCUAAUACCGCAUAACACCGAGACGUCACAUGGCGAUUCGGUCAAAGGAGCAAUCCGCUGAGAGAUGGGCUCGCGUCCGAUUAGAUAGUUGGCGGGGUAACGGCCCACCAAGUCGACGAUCGGUAGCCGGACUGAGAGGUUGAUCGGCCACAUUGGGACUGAGACACGGCCCAG